AUCUAGGGCAUUACAUUUAUAACAUAGAAAUUGUGAGUUUGAUUUUUAUCUUUUAGCUAGUCCUUCAUAAACUAAGGUUUGAGUAAAAAAAAAAACAAAUAAGCUAACAUGUGAUGGAUGAGAUGGAGUAUAAAACACACUCACUCGAAAAGAAUAAUAAUAACAACAAUAAAUACUUUAGGUCAAAUCGAGUGUAAAAUGCACUCAUUAGUAAAAACAUGUUUGGGCUAAAAGUGUGAGAU
rnacentral:lncRNA from 1 species